GCGCGUCCCCGCCGCUGCCGGUGCAACUCCCGCGCCCUCUGCCUCCGCCGCCGCCACUACCGCUGCCGCCCGGGUACCCAGGCGGAAGAGCGCGUCGGCCGGCUGCCCAGCAGCGCCGCGGAGCCCACAGCCCGGAGUCGGCGGGCGGGCGGGGACAGAGUGACCUAACAUGGCAGACCAGAGGCAGCGCUCACUCUCUACCUCCGGAGAGUCACUCUACCAUGUUCUUGGGCUGGACAAGAAUGCGACCUCAGAUGACAUUAAAAAGUCCUAUCGGAAGCUUGCCCUGAAGUACCACCCUGAUAAGAACCCUGACAACCCGGAGGCUGCAGAUAAGUUCAAGGAGAUCAACAACGCACAUGCCAUCCUGACGGAUGCCACGAAAAGGAACAUCUAUGACAAGUACGGCUCCCUGGGGCUCUACGUGGCGGAGCAGUUCGGGGAGGAGAACGUCAACACCUACUUCGUGCUCUCCAGCUGGUGGGCCAAGGCCCUCUUCGUUUUCUGCGGCCUCCUCACCUGCUGCUACUGCUGCUGCUGUCUGUGCUGCUGCUUCAACUGCUGCUGUGGCAAGUGCAAGCCCAAGGCCCCCGAGGGGGAGGAGACGGCCUUCUACGUGUCCCCAGAGGACCUGGAGGCACAGCUGCAGUCUGAUGAGAGGGGAGGGCACUGACACUGUGCCGCGAGUGUUUGUGGUGGCAGCUGGGACUGUUGAGGUGUGAACGUGGACACUGAGAGGCCACAGACACGCCAAUCGUCAUACAGCCCGCCUCCGCCACAGAGACCACCCAGCUCACGGCCGACUCCCACCCUAGCUACCACACUGACGGGUUCAACUAGGUUCAGGAGGAGCUGAGAUUCGAGGAGGGAUCAGCACCCGGCCACCGCAACCUUAGAUCCAUGAACUAGUCACCAGAUGGGGAGGCGCCGCGUCGGGGCCUCCCCUCCUCCACGCCCGCUGCCCGUCGACCCUCGAUACCCGAAGUGCGUAGCAUGCAGUAUUUAAAGCAGUGUAGCUACGGUCUUCUGCUCUCCUUUUCUAGUAGCAUGUAUGGUCGUGUUCAGUGUCUGUGUUGUGGACCUGCUGUGGCUCGGCCGCGCUCGCUGGACAGUGGAGCUGCCUCGGGGUGUUUAGCCAGGUCGGUCCAGUGAGGGUGGACUGGGCAGGAAGGGCCUCAGUGCUCCUGUGCUCACGGGGCUGGGGUCAGAUUCUUCCCGGCAAAGCCACAUCUCCACCUUGGCCGUGGGGUCCCAGGGCAGGGCCUGGCUCAUCUGGCCCAUCAAGGACAAGCGGGGCCAGGUCCUCUGGAACCACAGGGCCAUGGUUGUCCCUGGGUGUUACGUUGGCAUGGCGUGCAAGGGCCUCUGCACCCUGUCGUCUCCUUGUGGCAGGUCUCUCCAGGUGGUAGGUGUGAUGUGGACAGUGUGUGCACAUGCGUGCACUCUGCACGGUUGUCUGCCCCGGGCCUCUUUGCUUCAGGGCCUGAGGUUCCUGUCCAUCGAGGGGUGCCCCUCCCGGUGCGUGGAGGUCCUCCGUCUUUGUUCCUGAACCUUCCCAGGCUGAGCUGGACUGAUGGGGCCGUAGUCUCUCUCCCCUUCCCUGGGUUGUUCUCCACACUCCUUAAGCCCACCUGUUUUUUGUUUUUUUUUUUUUUUUUGUUUGUUUGUUUGUUUGAUUUGUUUUGUUUUUAAGCCCUUUUUGGACUUUUAAGAAUCACAAGUGGUUGCAGUCAGAGGGUGUGAAUCCAAGUGGGUGGAUGAAGGACUCCAGUGAGCCCCCAGCCUCUGGACCCUCCUCCUAGUGCUGGCCAGAGCUCCAUCCACCCACUUGCCUUCACUUGCGCCUGUCGCCCGUGCUCUAGUCGGCACUAGAACAUAGGGUUCCUGGAGCAAGAUGGCUGGAGCCAAGAUGCCCCUGGCCUCAGGAGGGCUGGGUCCCAGCGAGACUGUGGGACACCCUGCUUGCCAGCCAGCCUGGGAGGCCAGUGCUGGAUGAGACUCUGUGAACCGCAGAUCUGUGGGUGGCGCCUUGGUGGGUGAGCUGGGGAAAUGUGAGCACCACAUGUCAAGGCUUUGGAGCCACCUUGUGCCCCCUACAAUUUCCUGAACGUGCCGGACCAGAGUCCAGUGGGCCGAGUUCCUGCAGAACUUUCCCGAAGCCUGCUGCCGAGCAUCUUCUGAAUUUCUAGUAGAGAUGAAGAAUGAGAAAACUCCUAUGCUGACCGCGUGGCCCUGACAAACCACCUUGAGUCCCUUCACCCCCAUCCCCACUCCCUCCCACCGUGGGCUCCUAUUUGCCAGUGACUGCCAAGGGCAGGGCUUUGGGAUUUUGGUGUUGGUUGAGGGUACCCAGCAAGGUCCAGUGAGGCUGCUGUGACGCCAGGGCCCCCAGCUGAUCCUGUUGCAGGUGGACGUGGGCAACGAACUGCCCAGGAACCAGUCCCUGGGGUGUGUUUGUCCGUGUUGCUCAUUGAACGAUCAUGAAGAUACUGAGCAAGAGGGCUCCAUGCUAGCUAGGGUGCUGUGUCAGGGCCGUCCCCCUGUGGAGGGUGGGAACCACCAGUGGGCCCACAGACUGCUCAGCAGGCAGCCCAAGGGCUAGUCCCAGCACAACAGCAAGAGCUCAGCCCCUGAAGCUUUCUUGCGAUAAUUCGAGAGUGAGUUGCUUUCUCAGAACAGCCAGGACCCAGGGCCAUAGUCUGGUGACCUGCUGAGCAUCUUCUGAAUUUCUAGUAGAGAUGAAGAAUGAGAAAACUCCUAUGCUGUGGGACAGCCCUCCUGGCAUGCAGCCCUGUGGUUUUUGUCUCGUGUCCCUGUGAGCUGUGGCCACUUCUUAGGAGAAAGGAUCUCCCUGGGUGGCAGCUGGGGUGGGAAUAGCCACUUAGCCCAGUGUCCUGUGGGGGUCUCUGAAACUGAGUGAAUCAUGUAGGAUUUGUAACACCACGAACAGGACACAGGCUCUGGAGUGAGGGCCGUGGCUCUGCAGCCAUGGCCAGAGCAUGUCCCUCACCUGCUCGAGGCAGACAGUGCCUCAUCGUGCACGGCGAUGGUCUGUGGCUGCCCUGGUUCUGUUUCCUUUUUAAUGAGCACAGCUGGUGAGUCUUGGGGGUCAGCCUGACCCCCAUGUCCCCAGCUCCUGGGCUACACUUCUGGGCUGUCGACAGUGUGUGAUGUAUUGCCUGGGGAGUGCUAAGGUCAGUGUGCUUGGAAACCCAUCCAGAGCAGUGGUGCCCCGCAGGGUCCUGGCCACCUAUGGUAGCUCUGGGGUGUGUAGAUCCCUGUUCCUGCCCAGGGCUGUGGUCUUUCCUUGUCUUCCUUUGGCUUCAUUCUAUUUUAAGCUGCUUUAGAUAUUGUUGCCCCAUGUCAAUGAGCCUUCCUAGUUCUCUGGUGUUCAGUUAAUGCAGCCAGUGUCCAGUGGGAACCUGUCAGAAAGAGAAGCCAGAGUUCCCGCGGUCUCUUUGCUACUUGCUGGACUGGGCUGCAGCUCCAGUCUGGAAAGGUCCUGAAUCAUGAAGCAGUCAAGACUCGUCUCAGCUGUCCUAACCCAGGUUUUAGCAGCACAGGGGAGCUGAUGGCCCUGCAGGCUUCCCUCAAGGGUCCAGGUAAUGUGGGCAGAGGCAAGGUGGGUCCUGCCCAUCCUUGACUUCAAUCUAUCUGUGUGGUGCCUCGCUGGUGAGAAUCAUGGAAGGCGCUGGUGCCACCCCUUUCCCAGUGCUGAGCUGGUGCCCUGUAGCCCAGGACUGGCCUGUUUGUUAUUUGGGUUCUGAAUGCCCUGCUGUGGACAGGUGCAGCUUGUGUUGCCAGGUGCUGUGGUGCAGGCUGUGUGUCUGUGUACAUGUGUGUAUGUAUGGACCACGCAGCAGGCCCCGCGUGCUGCUGUCCAGGGGUGAAGCAACAAGUACAAGAAAGUUGGCUCCAAAGUGGCCUCUGUUUUCUUGGUGAGUUGGGUAGGGACAGGGUCUCGGCACGGUCCUCCUGGCGGAUACACCCAAGGGAACAGCCUCCUAUGUGCAGGAUGCGUGUGCCUGAACACAAGGUCAAGACCCCACCAGCGUCAAGCGUCACAAGGGUGACUGUCCUAAGCACAUGUCAUGUUCACCUGGCCCACAGGUGUGGGAAGUGUAGGAGGUGGCUGGAAACUCUCCCCUCCCUGGGCGCCUGAGUCAGUCAGUGACAAGGUUGCAUCUAAAGAGCAGCCUGGGCACCUGCCUGCAGGAGGGCUGGGCCAAGGGCCCCCCAGGUGGUGCCUGUGGCGGACUGGUUCUCCUGCAAGGCGGGGCGGCCUGGGAAGCUGGGUGAGGGAGGGGGAAUACACACUGACACGCACACCACAGGUGCUGCUUCUGAGAAUCAGAUGCGAGUGUGGAGAGCAGCAGUCCACGAGCUGGUUCCACCCAGCUGCCAGGAUGGCCUGCUGACCUGGCUCCACGCACAUCUCCAGGGCUGGAGAGCGAGUGGUCUCCAUGGUGAUCUCUGUCUUGUGUGUGUCUGAAUGUUGACCUAAAGUAAAGAUAACUUGUAAAAUAAAUGUUUUCACUGCAGAAA